UCUCCAAAUAUAAACACAAAGAUCAUUCGUCCGUUAGCCAAUUUCCAUCCUAGCUGUUGGGGUGAUCGUUUCAUCACAUAUGCUCCUAGUAAUGAUAUGAUGAAUGAAGCUUGUCAUGAACAAGUUGAAGAAUUGAAAGAAGAAGUGAGGAGGAUGCUAGAGGGUGAUGCUAAUGAGUCUUUAAAAAAACUGAACUUGAUUGAUUCAUUGCAAAGGCUUGGUGUGGCAUAUCACUUUGAAGGAGAGAUUGAGCAUGCACUAAAGGAGAUA